CGGGGAGGCUGUCCUCAGAGCAGGCCUGGCGCGCCGGUGGCUGGACCGGCCCCAGGAGCCCAGUCACCGGGCGUCAUUGGCUCAGGUUGCGGGGCCCUCGGCACCUUCUCCCGCCCGGGUCCACCGCGGCGGCGGCGGCGGCGGCGGCGUCAGGGGGCGGAGCCUGCGGAGCGCCCUUUGUCUGCGGAGGUCAACAUACCUGGCCUAAGGAGGCAGGAUUGAGUGACUCUCACUCACCACUGGUGUUUCUCUUUGAAAGUGGCGCUUGGCACCAGCAUGAAUUCCCCAUCCUCAGCAAUCCCACCGGGUGUUUUGGGUCUUCAACCUAAAAUUCUAUCUUACAAGAUCCUUGCCAGGAUGCAGAUUUGAAUACCAUAGUGAAGUCUGUACAUGAAGAAAUGAUGCUUUUAGGGAGGAAAAAAAAAGGUAAUAACAACCUUCAAGAGCCCCUACAUCUCAACUCGGCAUAAACAAGGCAAGAUUCUGAGAGUGGCCGCCCCUGGAAGCAGAAAUUAUUCUUGUGGCUAUCCAUUGGCUCCUGAGGCUCUAAUCAGAGAUGGGGCACCUUUAGUACCAGGGGAGUGGCUGUUGCCCAUAAGGUACUGGACAUCAACUUUCAAGAGCAGCCCCAGCUCCUGAAGCUGCUGGUCCUGGUGCAUCUCCUGACUUUCAUGUAGAAGAUAGCAGAGCUUUGGCAACAUUACAACAUAAGAACUGCAGAGAGGUGUAAUCCCAGUGGAAGACUGAAUCGAGAGACUCAAAAAGGAAGUUAUGCCUUCUCAGAAUGCUGUUUUUUCUCAGGAGGGGAACAUGGAGGAGAAAGAAAUGAAUGAUGGCUCACAGAUGGUGAGAUCUCAGGAAUCACUGACGUUUCAGGAUGUGGCCGUGGACUUCACCAGAGAGGAGUGGGACCAGCUGUACCCUGCCCAAAAGAACCUCUAUCGAGACGUGAUGCUGGAGAACUACAGGAAUCUAGUUGCACUGGGUGAGGAUGGCAUCCCUGUGAAACUGGAAGCCGUUCACGUGGGUUUAUUUCCUGAACUAGUGGAAGCCUGCAAAGUUUUUGUGAAUAUAGUUUGGGCUGGGAUAGAAGAACGCUAAUCAGUUUUGGAGUCAAAGACCUUUGUUUUCUGCUCUUUCUCCUCCAAUGGAAUGUCUUGAUUGAGUUUGAGAUGGGUGGCUUUAUUUUGCUGCCUCUGAAGUCUCCCCUCCAGAGGCUCUAAAGAUUGAAAAGGUUGGGAAUGUGUCUGAGAAUUUUGUUCCCAGUACAAACUCCUAAGAUAUAUGUUACUCCUAUGAAUAGGGUAUCAGCUUUGUAAGCCAGAGGUAAUCGCGCAGUUGGAGCUAGAGGAAGAAUGGGUGAUAGAAAGAGACAGCCUGCUGGAUACUCAUCCAGGUAAGUGCACACUCUUGGGCACUGCUACUUAAUGAGGGAAAACAGCCACUUCUGAACCACUCAGUGGAGUGUUCCAAAAAUCUCCCUCUGGGAUUUAAGGAAUACUAAGCCUUUUGAAAAAAAUCAGUUCAUAUUUUAUAUUUUUCUGAAUUUGAAAUGGCUGUCUUAUUUUUUCUCAUUGAACAGAUAAUAUACACUUAUAUUGUUUUAAAAAUGCACACAAACCAAAGGUUAUUUUGAAGGUAUCCAUUUAAACACCCAUAAAUAUCUUGAUAUUACAGAUAUCCACACAGCACUUUCUUUGUAUUUUUUAUUUACACAUCCCUUAUCAGUAUUCUUUAAAUCUUUCUUUUCCAUGAGAGGUGAUCCGAGAAGAAAUUUUUUAAAAAGCUUUCUUUUCCAUAUCAAAAAUCUUCUGCCAUUUUAAUCUAUUUUUCAUCUUUUCUUUUUCCUUUUAUCAAACUCUUGACACUUGUAUACAACCCACAGCCUAAUUUCUAAUUCUCUUGCUCUCCUUUGUGAUAUGACCCCGAUUCCUACCUCUACUACUAACAUUGUUUUCUUGGAGAUUACCACUAAUUUCCUUCCAGUCAAAUCCAGUGGCUACAAAGCCAGUUAGGAUUGUGUUGACUUUCCCUUCUUGAAAUGUUCUUCCACCCUGGCUUGUGAUGCACACGAUUCUUGUCUCUUCCAGCCUCUCUCUGUAUCUCCCUCUGCCCCUUUCCUGCAUUUUCUUUCUCCUUAUUCUCCUAAAAAUAUGUAUCCCUAUGGACUGGCUGUUCCACUCUGCAGUAAAGUGCUUUUAAGUAGUCCUUCUGUAUCAUUUUCCCAUUUCUCCAUUUCUAGUCCCAGUAUUUCACCCACAUUCUCCUGUCAGAAUUGAGAUUAUGGCUGGGCAUGGUGGCUUACGCCUGUAAUCCUAGCACUUUAGGAGGCCGAGGCAGAUGGAUCACCUGAGGUCAGGAGUACGAGACCAGCCUGGCCAACAUGGUGAAACCCAGUCUCUACUAAAAAUACAAAAAAUUAGCCAGGCAUGCUGGCACUCGCCUGUAGGCCCAGCUACUUGGGAGGCUGAGGCAAGAGAAUUGCUUAAACCUGGGAGCGGAGGUUGCAGUGAGCCAAGAUCGCGCCACUGCACUCCAGCCUGGGUAACAGAGCGAGACUCCAUCUCAAAAA
rnacentral:sRNA from 1 species